AGAGACUGAGUCUCUUUGCGCUGCUCUGCGCACCUGCAACGCUCAAGCGAGAGUAUAGGCGUCGUUCGGCUUCCGCCGCAAACUUCGGGUUCUUUUCAGAGGGCGGACGCUGACUGCAACCCUACGACUGGGGUGGCACGUAUUUUUUCGUUUGUUGACCAUUGUUGGGCAACAUUAACCUUUGUUGACCACUGUUGACCAUUGUUGGCUUCUGUUCACCACUGUUGACCAAGGUUGAUCAGUGUUGACCGCUGUCAAUCACUAUUGAACUUGGUUGACCCCAACAUUAAACAUUGUUGUUUAAUGUUGAUGAGGGUUGACCACUAUUGACAUCUGUUAAACAAUGUUGACCACAGUUGACCAAUAUUGACCACCAUGGACCAACAUUGAUGUCUAUGGAAUUCUGUUGACAUUUGUUGACCAGCACUGUUUUCCUGUAAGGAGAAACUGCUGAUGGUUACACCAGAAAUACAAAAACUGAAUUGCUAAACACACAGAGACAAAACACGCAGUUAUGUUUAAUAUUUUUUUAAUUUAAGAAAAAGUUUCACGUUUCAAGUGAAAAAAGCAAGGAGGCUUACGGUGAACAAUGUUCAACUCACUACAGAAAAGGAGGAGCUCUGCAAAGGUUUGGAAGAGAAACUGAGCAAGGGAACAAUUUAAAAUGAAAAUUAACAACAGCAGAGAUCCAAGCCCAUCCUCCCUUGCCCAGAAUAUCUUCUCCACCACCGUUGGCCCUUUGCCUAGUUUUUUGGGUGGGGUGGGGGGUGGGGCGGAGAGGAUAGAGGGCAGCAGGAAGUCUCCCUUCUAGAGAAAGCCCAGAGAUGUCCUCACCCAACCCAAAACCUAUCUUUGGAUUUUCCGAAUGAAAAUGUUCAUGCUAGGACUUUCCCUUCUAGGUGCCAAUAAUUAUUAUAAUAUUUUAUUUAUUUAUUUAUUUUAUUGAAUUUCUAUACUACCCUACUCCCAAUGAAAUAAAACACAUAGAUAUACAAAAUGGCAGGCAUCUUUCUCAGCACAUGUCAUAAGACCUUGGCUGGGCUGUCCUGGCUCAUUCUCAACUGCUACCACUGCAGGGAUGGCAGGAAAUUUUUUCUACCGAUUGAAUAAAAAAGUCCAGCGGAGAAAUAAAGUGGUACCAGAAGAGCAGCUGGACUUUGGCCUCUGGAGACACACUGAGGAAUACUAAAAUGAUUCAGGACAUGGCGGAGGAACAAGUCCAGCUAAAAGCUGAAGCAAAAGACCUCCGAAUAAAAAACCAGAAAUUUGUGCGAGGAGAAGGCAACAAUCCUGCGGAAUUUCAGGGAGAGGCUGAGGAGAAACAAUGCUUUGGAGGAAGAGGUAGAACGAGAAAGAAAGGAAUAUAAAAGCCUCCUCUGAAGGGUUCUGUAACAAGCUGGGGAGAAACAGGAGCUCCGCACGGAAAACAAAAGACCGAAGGAACAACUGGACAACUGAGAAAUAUUAAGUAUCACCUAUCAUGAGAGGACUAAUUUCUGCUUUUCUUAAUUUACAGGAAUUCAAAAAACAUUUGAACAAAUGGUGGAGGAAAGACUUAAUUUAAAGAACGAAAUCAAAGAAUUAAAAAUGAAGAACUGGAAGUUGAGCGAGGAGAAGGCGACCAUCCUGAGGAAUUUCAGGGAGAGGCUGAGGAGAGACAGAGACCGACCACCAUGCUAAAGGGGCUGAAACAUCAGGAGGAGGACUUGGAAAAGCUCCCGAGGAUCCCAAGAUGGAGAGAAACAUCUGCUGGAGCUUCAAGUACAGGGAGCCUCCUCCUCCCCUCCCCUCCCCCUCCUUUUCCCUCCUCACCCCUUCCUCAUCACCAAGGAGAAAAUGAUUCUCUGUCUCAGCCACAUCCAGCCAUCCCUGAAAAGAGCAGGACAACAGAAGAACGUGGUCUCCUCUCUCAAUUUCCAUAGUCCUGGAAAUGACCAGUCCAUGAAUGACCGGAGUGUCCAACAGUGGCUCAUGUCUGCACUCUUGUCUUAUCACUUCCCAAGUGUGCACCAGGAGGCCCAAACACUGGGAGCUCCUGAGCAAAACUUCCCAGCGUCAUACCACCGAUGCAGAACUCUGCCGGGAGCUGGAGGAGAGGCAGAGGAGAAUACAUACCUUGGAAUACCAACUUCAACUGGAGAGACAAGAGUAUAAGAGCCUCCUCUGUAGAGUUCUGCAGCAUGCUGGGGAGAAAAAGGAGCUCCUCACGGAGAUUAAAACUCUCAAAGAACAACUGGAGAGAAAUUCAAAAAUAUUCGAGGAGAUGGUUGAGGAACAAAUUAAUUUAAAGGACCAAAUUAAAAACUUACAAAUUAGGAACCGGAAGUUGAGCGAGGAGAAAGCAACAAUCAUGCGGAAUUUCAGGGAGAGGCUGAGGAGGUGAGAAACACGUAGAUAGCAGCCCUGACUAAGGGAGGGAGAGGACCAGGAUUCCUUGAAGCAGCUUAGAAAUGACUUUCCAAAGAAAUGAGAUCUCGUCCAGCCACUCCUGUAAUCAUGAAAUGGACGCAGGGAUCGAUGACAAAUGCACCCAUUUCCUGAUCUCCAUUUAAGUUCAAAACUUAAUUUUCUUUAUCAGCCUACAUAAAAUAACAUUAGGAUUCUACCCUAUAAGGGAUGGAGGAAUAGAUGAAAAUUAGAAUGGGGAGGCCACAUUUGAACCCUUAGAGACUCCAUCACUCACCGACCGCCAUGCUGAAGGGGCUGGAACUUCACAUGGGGAAAGAGAGGGCCAAGGGGGAGGACUUGAAGAACUUGGAAAAGCUCCCGGGAAUCCAAAAAUGGAUUGAAACAUCUAUUGUACUACUACGAACAUCCCUAAUUUUGUAAAAUAAAGUUCCAAAAGAAGGAGAAAACUCAUGAAUGUCUGGCUCCUGACACUUUUAGUCCUAUGUGUAUAAAGCUAGGUCUACUAUAAGGAGCUCCUGAAGGAAAAUUUCCAGCUUGUGGAAAACAACACAGGACUCUGCAAGGAGCUGGAGGAGAAACAGAGGAGGUGAGAAAUUUUCUGACAGCAUCCCUGAUUUUAAUUGUUGGUCCAAAUUUAUCUCUAAGCUUCUGAUGUUUCUAGAGAGAAAGAACUGAGGAAAAACAUCUUCAGGUGACUGGUGUACAGAGACCAGCUGGUACCACUUAAUAGUACAGAGUCCAAAAGAAACACAAGGGCGGACAUUAGAACACUGGAAGACAAGAGAGAAACUCUUGAAGACGUGAAACCUUUGAUGCUGCCAUAUAAA